rnacentral:lncRNA from 1 species
CAGAUUUGUCGGCUGUUUCGUUUUUACAACUAUAUUUGUCGAGGUAAGUUUGUAGUAUAUAAUAUAUAUGCUUGUUUCCUUAUGAUUAUGUAUAUCAAUUGUUAGUUAAAUUAUAAUUAAUGUGAAAAUUUCAUUGUUUGCUUGUAAAUUAUUAAAUGUUGGAAUUAAGUACAAAAGGAAAAUGAAUAUUUGGUCGUGGUAAAUCUUGUGGUUUCACAAUUUU